rnacentral:rRNA from 1 species
UACGGAGGGUGCAAGCGUUGUCCGGAAUCACUGGGCGUAAAGGGCGCGUAGGCGGCUCAUGAAGGCUGUGGUGAAAGUCCGGGGCUCAACCUCGGAUCGGCCGUGGCGACUCGUGGGCUGGAGCACUGUAGAGGCGGGUGGAAUUCCUGGUGUAGCGGUGAAAUGCGUAGAUAUCAGGAGGAACACCAGUGGCGAAGGCGGCCUUCUGGCUCGCAACUGACGCUGUAGCGCGAAAGCGUGGGGAGCGAACGGG